rnacentral:rRNA from 1 species
UACAGAGGUCCCAAGCGUUGUUCGGAUUUACUGGGCGUAAAGCGCACGUAGGCGGAUCGUUAAGUCGGGGGUGAAAUCCUGGAGCUCAACUCCAGAACUGCCUUCGAUACUGGCGAUCUCGAGUCCGGAAGAGGUGAGUGGAACUCCUAGUGUAGAGGUGGAAUUCGUAGAUAUUAGGAAGAACACCAGUGGCGAAGGCGACUCACUGGUCCGGUACUGACGCUGAGGUGCGAAAGCGUGGGGAGCAAACAGG